CGGACGUAGGUAACCUGCCUUGUAGCGGGGGAGUAACUAUUGGAAACGAUAGCUAAUACCGCAUAACAAUGGAUGACACAUGUCAUUUAUUUGAAAGGGGCAAAUGCUCCACUACAAGAUGGACCUGCGUUGUAUUAGCUAGUAGGUGAGGUAACGGCUCACCUAGGCGACGAUACAUAGCCGACCUGAGAGGGUGAUCGGCCACACUGGGACUGAGACACGGCCCAG
rnacentral:rRNA from 1 species